rnacentral:rRNA from 1 species
UUUCUUCAUAAAUUAAAAUAAAAAAACUAAAUGGCUGCAGUAACUAUAACUGUAUGAAUGUAGCAUAAUCAAUCGCCACUUAAUUGGUGGAUAGUAUGAAUGGUUUAACGAAAAUUCCCCUGUCUUAUAAAAUAAGAAAAAAAUUUAAAUUGUAGUUAAGAUGCUACAUAAUAUUGUAAGACGAAAAGACCCUAUAAAGCUUAACUAUAAUCUUUUUAAAAUUCUUAACAAAGAAAAACAAAUAAAAAGAUAGGUAGUUUCAUUGGGGCGAUGAUCUCUAAAAAAAAACAGAGAUAAACUAAAUUAAUAAUAUAAUUUACUGUUUAAUUAAUGAAUUUAACAGUUACAAGGUAGGGUAUAACGACCCAUUAUUUUCUUAAAAAAGAUAUAAUGAUCUUUAAAUAAAAGCUACUUUAGGGAUAACAGGAUAAUAUUUUCUGAGAGCCCUAAUCGAAGAAAAAGUUUAUCACCUCGAUGUUGAAUUAAGAUAACCUAUUGGCGCAGCCGCCAUUGAAGGUAGGUCUGUUCGACCUUUAAAAUCUUACAUGAUUUGA